rnacentral:rRNA from 1 species
AAGUUUUAUAUUUCUUAAAAUACCUGAGUAGUAACAGAUAUAUUCUAAAAAUUUGAAAAAUUUGGCGGUGGUUUAGUCUUGUCAGAGGAACCUGUCUUUUAAACGAUACACCACGAAAUAUCUUACUUGAGUUCGUGCAGUAUGUAUACCAUCAUUAUUAGGUAAUUUUUAUAGAAUAAAUUACUGAAAAAUGUCGAUAAUGUUGAAUAUAUUAGAUCAAGGUGCAGCUAAUGCUCAAGUUAAGAUGGGUUACAAUAGUAUUUAUACUAUUACGGAUAAGUAAGUGAAACUUUACUUUGAAGGAGGAUUUGAUUGUAAUUUUAGUUUAAUAAGCUAAUUUGAUAUAAGCUCUAAAGCAUGUACACACCGCCCGUCACCCUCCACA